UACAGAGGUCUCAAGCGUUGUUCGGAUUCAUUGGGCGUAAAGGGUGCGUAGGCGGCGCGGUAAGUCGGGUGUGAAAUCUCGGGGCUCAACCCCGAGCCUGCAGUCGAUACGGGCAGACUAGAGUGCUGUAGGGGAGACUGGAAUUCCUGGUGUAGCGGUGAAAUGCGCAGAUAUCAGGAGGAACACCGGUGGCGAAGGCGGGUCUCUGGGCAGUAACUGGCGCUGAGGAGCGAAAGCGUGGGGAGCGAACAGG
rnacentral:rRNA from 1 species